UACAGAGGUCUCAAGCGUUGUUCGGAUUCAUUGGGCGUAAAGGGUGCGUAGGUGGCGCUGUAAGUCGGGUGUGAAAUUUCGGAGCUUAACUCCGAAACUGCAUUCGAUACUGCGGUGCUUGAGGACUGGAGAGGAGACUGGAAUUCAUGGUGUAGCAGUGAAAUGCGUAGAGAUCAUGAGGAAGACCAGUGGCGAAGGCGGGUCUCUGGACAGUUCCUGACACUGAGGCGCGAAAGCUAGGGUAGCAAACGGG
rnacentral:rRNA from 1 species